CCUACGGGAGGCAGCAGUAAGGAAUAUUGGUCAAUGGGCGCAAGCCUGAACCAGCCAUGCCGCGUGCAGGAAGACGGCCCUACGGGUUGUAAACUGCUUUUGUACCGGAAUAAACCCCCGAUCGUGAUCGGGGCUGAAUGUACGGUAAGAAUAAGGAUCGGCUAACUCCGUGCCAGCAGCCGCGGUAAUACGGAGGAUCCAAGCGUUAUCCGGAUUUAUUGGGUUUAAAGGGUGCGUAGGCGGCCUGUUAAGUCAGGGGUGAAAGACGGUAGCUUAACUAUCGCAGUGCCUUUGAUACUGACGGGCUUGAAUGUACUUGAGGUAGGCGGAAUGUGACAAGUAGCGGUGAAAUGCAUAGAUAUGUCACAGAACACCAAUUGCGAAGGCAGCUUACUAAAGUAUGAUUGACGCUGAGGCACGAAAGCGUGGGGAUCAAACAGGAUUAGAUACCCUGGUAGUCCACGCCCUAAACCGAUGAAUACUCGAUGUUGGCGAUAUACGGCCAGCGUCUAAGCGAAAGCGUUAAGUAUUCCACCUGGGGAGUACGCCCGCAAGGGUGAAACUCAAAUGAAUUGACGG
rnacentral:rRNA from 1 species